UUUGGGGUUUCUUGGCAAAGAUACUGGAGUGGUUUGCUAUUUCCUUCUCUAGCUUAUUUUACAGAUGAGGAAACUGAGGCAAAGAAGGUUAGGUGACUUGCCUAGGGUCAUACAGCUAGUAAGUAUCUGAGGCCAGAUUUGAACUCAGGAAGAGGAGUCUUCCUAACUCCAGGCCGAGUGCUUUAUCCACUGCGCCACCUCACUGCCCUGCCAGGGGAGCAUAUGCUUUUCCAUACAUUUCCACAAGGCUCUCCUUUGGAAAGGUAUGAGCCCAAAUCAGAAGAAUGCCACCCCUCAUAGGGGUGUGCAACCCCAGGAGUAGCUUGGCUGUGUGAGAAAGUUUCCCAGGGUAAAAUCAGUAGGUUACAGAUAACACCUCUUACCUCCCUCCCACCUUUCCAGUCUUCUUGUACCUCGCACCUCUACCAUCUACUAUGUGACUGAGUAACACUGGCUUUUUCAUGUUCCUCCUUCCAGAAACUCCAUCUCCUGACUCCAGGCAGUUUCACUGGCUCCCUCCCGUGCCUGGAAUUCUCUCCCUCCUCAUCUCCUUCUCUUGGCUUUCCUGUCUUCCUUUCAACUAAAAUCUUACCUUUUACAGGAAGCCUUUCCCAGGCCUCCUUAAUUCUUUUACCUUCCCUCUGUUGAUUAUUUCCAAUUUAUCCUGCAUCUAGCUUGUUUUACAUAGUACAUGUUGUCUCCCCCAUUAGACUUCAAGGUCCUUGAGAGCAGGGACUGUCUUUUUCCUUUCUUUGUAUCCCUUUUUUAUUAACUGACUGCCUGCAGGUUAGAUAUUAGGCAAAACUUCUUGGCAAACAAACAUGUGACAGACAGGGCGAUUAUGAUUACUUUAUUCACAUCUUUGUUUCUGAUAUUUUUUCCUUCUGGUCUGCUCUUCAGUCUAAAAUGGGGCUGAUCCAGUUCCCUCCUUUGUGAUUUUUGCUUCUGUUUCUUUCUUUGCAGAAGAGACUCCCUCUGACCCUGGGGCUGAACAGCCUGUAGACAAUGCAGUCAACCCAGAAGCCCCUGCAGAAACAUCCUCAGAGCAAGUGACAGCCCCUGUAGAAACAAGUUUGGACACUGCACAGACAACUUUAGCAGCUGAAGAGUCAGAAGAGAAUCAGAUAGCCACUCCUCAAAAAGUGGAACCCAGUAUCACCAGAUUACCAUCAAUUAAGUCUUUGCCAACCUACGUGAAGAGCAAAGUUGAGAAACUUGAAAAGAAAAUCAAGACUGAUGUGAACGCAUUUAAGGAACUUAAGAAGUAUCCUCGGAAAAUUGUGAAAAUAUAUUCGUCCUGACAACCUGAAGAAACUGGCUAGAAUUCAGCCUUCAAAGGAAUUACAACCAUUGUAUACAUGGUUCAGGGCUAUUAAAUUGAAGCAUCA
rnacentral:lncRNA from 1 species